GUUAAGCGACUAAGCGUACACGGUGGAUGCCCUGGCAGUCAGAGGCGAUGAAGGACGUGCUAAUCUGCGAUAAGCGUCGGUAAGGUGAUAUGAACCGUUAUAACCGGCGAUUUCCGAAUGGGGAAACCCAGUGUGAUUCGUCACACUAUCAUUAACUGAAUCCAUAGGUUAAUGAGGCGAACCGGGGGAACUGAAACAUCUAAGUACCCCGAGGAAAAGAAAUCAACCGAGAUUCCCCCAGUAGCGGCGAGCGAACGGGGAGCAGCCCAGAGCCUGAAUCAGUGUGUGUGUUAGUGGAAGCGUCUGGAAAGGCGCGCGAUACAGGGUGACAGCCCCGUACACAAAAAUGCACAUGCUGUGAGCUCGAUGAGUAGGGCGGGACACGUGGUAUCCUGUCUGAAUAUGGGGGGACCAUCCUCCAA
rnacentral:rRNA from 1 species